GAUCUUUAUUUUUAUUUUUUAUAAAUUAAUAAGAUUAUAAAAAUUUAUAAAUAAAUUAAAAAUUUUACUGGGGUGGUAUUAAAAUUUAUAAAACUUUUAAAUAUAAAUUCAUUAAUUUAUGUAUUAUUGAUCCAAUUUUAUUGAUUAAAAAAUUAAGUUACCUUAGGGAUAACAGCGUAAUUUUUUUUUAGAGUUCAUAUCGACAAAAAAGAUUGC
rnacentral:rRNA from 1 species